rnacentral:rRNA from 1 species
AUGUGGGCACCUGAUAUCUAUGAGGGUUCACCCACCCCGGUGACAACAUUCCUUUCUAUUGCGCCUAAAAUCUCUAUUUCUGCAAAUAUGUCACGUGUUUCUAUUGUUGCUUCCUAUGAGGGUACAUUACAAGAAAUCUUCUUUUUCUGCAGCAUUGCUUCUAUGAUCUUAGGAGCACUGGCCGCCAUGGCCCAAACGAAAGUCAAAAGACCUCUAGCUCAUAGUUCGAUUGGACAUGUAGGUUAUAUUCGUACUGGUUUCUCAUGUGGAACCAUAUAA